rnacentral:rRNA from 1 species
UACGGAGGGUGCAAGCGUUAUCCGGAUUCACUGGGUUUAAAGGGUGCGUAGGUGGAUUGGAAAGUCAGUGGUGCCAUCUCCGGGCUUAACUCGGAAACUGCCAUUGAUACUAUCAAUCUUGAAUACCGUGGAGGUCAGCGGAAUAUGUCAUGUAGCGGUGAAAUGCAGAGAUAUGACAUAGGACACCAAGUGCGAAGGCAGCUGGCUACACGAAUAUUGACACUGAGGCACGAAAGCGUGGGGAUCAAACAGG